GCCACGGUGGUCUAGCGGUCAGAACACUAGCCUUGUAAGCCUGGGGUCCCGGGUUCGAUUCCCGGUGGUGCUC
rnacentral:tRNA from 1 species